CAGGUGUAAAGUAGUUUGAAAUAUAGAAAAUGUGUAUGCAGUCCCAUUACUCAAUCUGUAUACAUCAUUUACUAAAUCAGGGAUUGAAUCUGGUGAGCUA